GCUUGCAACUGAUGACGACCGGCGCACGGGUGCGGAACGCGUAUCGAACCUGCCCCCUUCAGGGGAAUAGCCCAGAGAAAUUUGGAUUAAUGCCCCAUGGCACCACGGAGUCGCAUGACACUGUGGUUAAAGAUUUAUCGGAAGGGGAUGGCGAUGCGUAUCAUUAGCUGGUUGGUAAGGUAACGGCUUACCAAGGCAACGAUGAUUAGGGGCCCUGAGAGGGGGAUCCCCCACACUGGUACUGAGACACGGACCAGACUCCUACGGGAGGCAGCAGUGAGGAAUAUUGGACAAUGGCCGGAAGGUUGAUCCAGCCAUGCCGCGUGCAGGAUGACUGCCCUAUGGGUUGUAAACUGCUUUUAUACGGGAAGAAACCUCCCCACGUGUGGGGAGCUGACGGUACCGUAAGAAUAAGGACCGGCUAACUCCGUGCCAGCAGCCGCGGUAAUACGGAGGGUCCGAGCGUUAUCCGGAAUCAUUGGGUUUAAAGGGUCCGUAGGCGGGCCUGUAAGUCAGGGGUGAAAGGCCACGGCUCAACCGUGGGACUGCCCUUGAUACUGCAGGUCUUGAGUCGUUGUGGAGUUGCCGGAAC
rnacentral:rRNA from 1 species